rnacentral:rRNA from 1 species
GAUGAACGCUAGCGGCGGGCUUAAUACAUGCAAGUCGAACGGUAACAGGUCUUCGGACGCUGACGAGUGGCGCACGGGUGCGUAACGCGUACACAACCUACCCUAAAGAGGGGGAGUAGCUCCGGGAAACCGUAGGGAAGUAAUACCCCACUAGUACUACUAAGUUGCAUAAUUUGGUUAGUUAAAGGUUUAACUUGCUUUAGGUAUGGGUGUGCGAGCCAUUAGGUAGUUGGAGAGGUAACGGCUCACCAAGCCGACCGAUGGCUAGCUGGUCUGAGAGGAUGAUCAGCCACACGGGCGACUGAGACACGGGCCCGA